CCUACGGGGGGCUGCAGCGGGGAAUAUUGGACAAUGGGGGGAACCCUGAUCCAGCCAUGCCGCGUGUGUGAAGAAGGCCCUCGGGUUGUAAAGCACUUUCAGUGAGGAAGAACGCCUGGUGGUUAAUACCCAUCAGGAAAGACAUCACUCACAGAAGAAGCACCGGCUAACUCCGUGCCAGCAGCCGCGGUAAUACGGAGGGUGCGAGCGUUAAUCGGAAUUACUGGGCGUAAAGCGCGCGUAGGUGGCUUGAUAAGCCGGUUGUGAAAGCCCCGGGCUCAACCUGGGAACGGCAUCCGGAACUGUCAAGCUAGAGUGCAGGAGAGGAAGGUAGAAUUCCCGGUGUAGCGGUGAAAUGCGUAGAGAUCGGGAGGAAUACCAGUGGCGAAGGCGGCCUUCUGGACUGACACUGACACUGAGGUGCGAAAGCGUGGGUAGCGAACAGGAUUAGAUACCCUUGUAGUC
rnacentral:rRNA from 1 species